GACAGAGGGUGCAAGCGUUGUUCGGAAUUACUGGGCGUAAAGCGCGUGUAGGCGGUUUCCUAAGUCAGGUGUGAAAGCCCCGGGCUCAACCCGGGAAGUGCACUUGAAACUGGGAGGCUAGAGUACUGGAGAGGUUGGUGGAAUUCUCGGUGUAGAGGUGAAAUUCGUAGAUAUCGAGAGGAACACCGGUGGCGAAGGCGGCCAACUGGACAGAUACUGACGCUGAGACUCGAAAGCGUGGGGAGCAAACAGG
rnacentral:rRNA from 1 species